UACGUAGGGUGCGAGCGUUAAUCGGAAUUACUGGGCGUAAAGCGUGCGCAGGCGGUGCUGUAAGACCGAUGUGAAAUCCCCGGGCUUAACCUGGGAACUGCAUUUGUGACUGCACGGCUAGAGUGCGGCAAAGGGGGAUGGAAUUCCGCGUGUAGCAGUGAAAUGCGUAGAUAUGCGGAGGAACACCGAUGGCGAAGGCAAUCCCCUGGGCCUGCACUGACGCUCAUGCACGAAAGCGUGGGGAGCAAACAGG
rnacentral:rRNA from 1 species